GACAACUAUUGACUCAUAUAACAAAUAUUCAGAACAAAAAUGACAUCCAUCCAAUACAGUCAUAUUAAUUGGUUAUGAAAUGAUAAGUUAUAGGUGAACUAUUAUGACAAAAUGGAAGAAGUGGCCUAAGCAUUUCAUCGAAUAACUGGUGGGCAGAACUUUAACCCUAUAGUGAACAUGUUACUCUUAUCGACAAAACAUCCGGCUGUCAUAAAUGAAAUGAAUAUCAUAUCAUGGUGUAAUAUUGAGGAUACUCGCACCCCUUAAGAACUUCACAUUCCUGAAAACAUAGAGAAUCGAUCAUUCAGUUCAAAUUUAGUUCGAUUAAAGUCAUUGGAUAUGCAGAGAGUUAUACACAUGUACAUACCUGGAACAAUAUGUCACCAUUUCCUAUCAGAAGAUAUAUAAAUCAAACAAUUUACUUAAGAAACUCCAAACCAAAGACAUUAAUACGAGAACGGAUGGAAAGACCAACAAACAUAUACAGUAUGUGAUAAUAGUAAAAAAAAGGCAACAAAACUCCAAAAAAAGACAACAAAACAUCGAAUUCCACAAUUUCACUUAGAACGGAUGGAAAGACUCAGACAACGGCGAUCAAACACCGAUAUGGCUGCAAACACCGGUUGCAUAUUCCGGUCGGAUAUGCCUUCCGAGUUGCUCUGCUCAAAAACAAUGAUGGAUCUGAAUUUUUUUCGGAGAUAAAACUCAUCAUCGCCUCAAUCUUGCUAUAGAACAAUCAAAAUCGGAACCCAUCAAUGGAGUCACAAAUCAAAUACAUCAUCGCCUGGUAAAGAAUAAUCAAAAUCGGAACCCAUCAAAGGAAGCAAUCAAAAUCGGAAGACAUCAAAGUAUACAAUAUUUUGGUUAAUUGAUUUUGGCUACAUACCGAAGAAACCAAAAUCCUGAGAAACAAAGAACGAUGGAAGAAGGAAUUAGAAAAUAAGAGAAAGAGGAAGCGAGAUACAAACAUGAAGCAGUCAAUUGCUGAUGCAGACCUAGAAUUAAAGACGUGUGUCCCCAUUGACGGACGAAGACAGACGAAGAAUGAAAGGAAACACAAC
rnacentral:lncRNA from 1 species